rnacentral:pre_miRNA from 2 species
GAUUUCAACUGAAAAAGUCAUCAACAACAAAGUUGUAUAACUCAUCAGGAUCUAUAACUUUUAUUUUGGUCAUUUCUUCAUCCAACAAAGUUAUCUGUAACAUUGUUCACAAAAUGUAUAUCUCUUAUAUAGUUUUAUAAACUAUGGAGAGAGAUAUGUAAAUUUUGUGAAAAUGUUUCCAUCACUUUGUCGGAUGAGGAAAUGAAUGUAAUAUAAGUUAUAGAUCUUGAUGAGUUAUACAACUUUGUUGUUGAUGACUUUUUCAUCUGAAUUC